ensembl:lncRNA LINC00667 long intergenic non-protein coding RNA 667
GCCGCGGCCGGGAGGGACCGAGCGGGGAGCAAGGCCUGCGGGGAGGCGCAGGAUGGACGCGUUGGCUGUCAUGAUGUAGGACCUCCUGACCUAGAACCAUGCCCGGCGCAGGGAGAACAACGAGCUUACGGACCGGGUGCGGGGGCUGCUGUGCGAGAAAGCCUACCUGCUGGCCCGGGAGCGUUCGCCGGCCCACCUGGUGGCUUUCCCUGGACGUUUAACGGCGACUCCGCCCGGCCUCCCGACUUUUUGAUGCAGGCGUUCUCUUACAUGACUUUCUUCGAGGCUAGAUUCUCGAAAGACAUCCUGAAGGUGGCUUUCUUAAUUAGCUGCCUCACCGGCUGGCGGAGCAGUUCGUAGUCGCCUACAUCGAGAGGGAGAGCCCCGUCCUGGCUCAGUACUGGGGCUUCGUGGACGCGCUGUAGCGGGUCUUCGCCGUCGUGGGUAGGAAACAGUCGGGCCGGAUCCCCGGUGUCUGGGGAGCGGCUGCCGGCCGGGCCCGCGCGAGCCGCUUCACUCCUACAAGCCCGGCUCACUAGUUCCAAGCUGCUGGACUUUGACCCUCGCUGGGAAGCUUGAUCGCCGCCUGUUCUCGCCAAUCUCUAUGCCUUUGCACUGCCCAGCAACCCGGUCACUGCCCAGGACCUGUUAAAAGUUGAAUGGACCUCCCAGAAUCACGCCGCUGCCACCGCCGUUUCUAGAGACGGCUUUUGGCCACCUUUGAGAAUCAGGGUCAAACUUGGAAGGGCCUGCAUUUGUCACACUUCCUCGGACACUAAUUUGGAUAGUUCAGGCCCAGAGACGGCUUCCCGGAUCCUUUGCACAUGGCCUGCUAUCAACAAUCCUCUACAAUGAUUCUCAGCAUCACCUAGGGAGCUUAUGUAAAAUCUCAAAUUCCUGGGCCCUAUCCCCAGAGUUUCUUAUCAAGUAAGUCUGCAUUGGGAUCUGAGGAUUUGCAUCUCUAACAAAAAUUCCUAGGCGAUGCUCACACUGUUGGUGUAAGGUUUCCUUGAUGGAGAACUAUCAAAGCAGUCAAAGCUAUCAAAAUAAAAAAGAAUUCUGAUUGGGUGCAGUGGCUCACACCUGUCAUUCCAGCACUUUGAGAGGCCAAGGUGGGCAGAUCACAUGAGGCCAGGAGUUCAAGACCAGCCUGGCCAACAUGGCAGAAACCCCAUCUCUACUAAAAAUACCAAAAUUAGCCGGGCAUGGUGGAACACACCUGCAAUCCCAGCUACUCGGGAGGCUGAGGCAAGAGAAUCGCUUGAACCUGGGAGGCAGAAGUUGCAGUGAAACAAGUUGGUGCCAAUGCAUUCCAGCCUGGAUGAUGGAGCGAGACUCUGUCUCAAGAAAAAAAAAACAAAAACAAAAACAGAACUCUGCCUCAUAGCGUCUUUUAAGUUAUACACUGGACCUAUCCUUUCCUCACUGACAGACAUUUUAAAAAUUUUUUGGUAAGGCCUAGUUCAUAUAAAAUGUAAUCCAAGCCAAAAGUUAACAAGAAUAAGGGGAGGAAAGGGGACUCCAAUAGCAGAGAAAGGUAUUUACCUGGGAUAUACACUGCAAGAAAAUCAAAGCUAUAAGAAACGUCCAUGAAUAGUAGCCAUAAGGCAUCAGAGUGAUAAAAUUCCUGUCCCUAGGAGGGAAUAUUGGAGUUUGCCAGAGAAACAGAAUGAGAGAGACAGAGAGGUUUAUUGUAGGAAUUGGCUCAUAUGAUUACGGAGGCUGAGAAGACCCACGAUCUGCCAUCUGCAAGCUGGAGAAUCAGGAAAGCUGGAGGUGUAAUUCAGUCAAGUCCAAUGGCCAGAGAAGCAAGUGUACUGAUAUCCAAGAGCAGGAGAAAAUAGAUGUCCCAGAACAAGCAGAGAGGCUGAUUUUGUCCUUCCUCUGCCUUUUUGUUUCAUAUGGGGCACUGAAUGGACUGAUGCCCAUCCACAUUAGUGAGGGUGGAUCUUCUUUACUCAGUCUACCAGUAGAAAUGUCAAUGACUUCCAGAAACACCCUCACCAACACACGUGGAAAUAAUGUUUUACCAGGUAUCUGGGCAUCCCUUGGUUCACUCAAGUUGACACAAAAUUAACCAUCACAGAAGGAGACUGGCCUUACUCUGAAAUUAGGAAACUAAAGAAGUGACCAGAAUGGAGACUAGGUAGAGACAACUAGUUCUCUACCAAACAUGUACAGUUAUUCGUUGGUAUCUGAAGGGGAUUGGUUCCAGGAACUCUCAGGGAUACCAAAAUCUGCAGGUGCUCAAGUCAUUUAUAUAAAAUAUUACAGUAUUUGCAUAUAACCUUUGCACAUCUUCCAUAUACUUUAAAUCAUCUCUACAUUACUUAUAAUAAUGAAUGUGUAAAUGCUAUGAAAAUAGUUACUACACUAUUGUUUAUUUGUAUUUUUAUUGAAUUGUUUUGGGGUGGGGGGCAGCUGUAUCUUUCUUAGUAAUAGAACCCCUGGUUUUAGCUGGGCACAUGACUGCCCUCAAUAAAGAUUAAAGUACCCCAGCCUUCCUUGAGAUUGUGGCCAUGUGACUGAACUUUAGACAGUGAGAUAUAAGCAGAUAUCUUCUGUGGCAGUGUUAGGAAACUAUUAAAGACAGUAAGAACAUUGCCCUUUGCCUUCUUUUUCCUUUCUUCAUUUUUCUGCCUGGAAUGCAAAUGUGAUGGCUAACACCCUAGCAGCCAUUUUAGAUUAUGAAGAUGAGAGUCACUCCCCAGGAAGGGUGGACCUGAAAGCUGGAUUCUAGAUGUGGAAUGACAAUACCAGCCCUGGACUACCUACCUGUAGGCUGUGUGUGUGUGUGUGUGAUUGACAGAGAGAGAGAGAGAUAGAUACCACAAGUAACACAAAGCAUCAUACCUGGGACUGGGAAGGUUAAUGUUUAAACAUUUUAAAUGUGGCAUUGGUUUGUUGAAGACAGUCAAGCAGUAGGUGCUGCAGGCUUUGUUGAGGCUAGAAAGCUGUUGGUCUUUAUUAGGUGAUGGCAAAACAAUGGAUCACAUUUUCAUGUGCUGUGUCUUGGGAGGCAAAUGAUGAGAAUGUAGGAUUGGGGAAAAUGGUAAGGAAAAUCCAAAAUGUUCAUGUUUUCUAACCCCUUCUUGCCAAUCUUAAAAGAAGGACAAACAGGCUAGAUUAAGCAAGUCUACAGUUACAAUUGGAAGGAAACACAGCCGUACUAAGGAAGUACUCUGUCUGUGGCCUGCAGUCUAGUUUGACUAGGUCCUGUAUUUGAGCUUUGAAAGAGUAAAGAAUACAAGUGCUCGUAUACCCCUGAAGUAGUUACCAGCAGUGACUGCAAGGAGGUAAUCUUAUGGGAUGAAACUAUAACUCUGUAUUAACCAUCAUAUAUAGCAUAUAUGUGUAUAUGUAUGUGUGUGUGUGUAUAUGUGUAUAUAAAUAUAUGUGUGUGUAUAUACACACAUGUACACACCCUACAACCCAGUGAUUUCAAAAAAUUAAACAUUUGUUUAGCUCAUGAAUCUGUGGGUUGGGUGAACAUUUCUAUUGGUCUUGGCUGGGCUCACCUGUACCCAGUCAGCUGCAGGGUCUAGCUCUUCUUAUCUUGGCUGGGAUCUCACACAUGUCUAGGAUCAGCUGCUUUACUAGUCUAGGAUUGUCUUGGCUGAGACAGGUGGACUACUCAGUUCUCCUCCACUGCCUUAUCCUUCAGCUGGCCAGCCCAGAAAUGUUGCCAUGUUUACAGCAUAAGAGCAAGCAAGAAAGAAUAAUAUGCAACCACUUUUCCAAGCCUAAGGUGAAAGGGCGGGCAGAACCUGUGGUGUUAGGAGGCAACUCAUACCAGCCCAUGGGUCUACCGUUUAAUUUUCAGAAAUUUGGCAAGCUGAUUGUUAACACAGCUGUUGUUUAAUUUAUGUACUUGUAAUUAAAUAAUUUACAUUAAAACAAAGAUAAUAGGUACUCAAAACUCAUGACUUUCUAGUUAUUUUAUUAUAUUUUACUAUUGUCUGUCCUCUUAAGGUGUUUGUUUCUAGUGUAUCUGGUGGAAACACUACUUCAUGUUUCAGUUGUGUCAAACCAGUAGCUUGAAAUCAGCCACUGUUGGAGUGUUUAUACCACAGAAAUUGAUAGAAGCUACAAAUGAAGUGUUGCUUGUUGAUUUGUUUUGUUAAUUGUCUGGCUUAAGAAAGUGGUAGAGAAAACAUUAAUGCAGAUUAAAUUUAAAAGCGUGUUGUGUCUGCGGCCGU